UACGGGGGGGGCAAGCGUUGUUCGGAAUUACUGGGCGUAAAGGGCUCGUAGGCGGCCAACUAAGUCAGACGUGAAAUCCCUCGGCUUAACCGGGGAACUGCAUCUGAUACUGGAUGGCUUGAGUUCGGGAGAGGGAUGCGGAAUUCCAGGUGUAGCGGUGAAAUGCGUAGAUAUCUGGAGGAACACCGGUGGCGAAGGCGGCAUCCUGGACCGACACUGACGCUGAGGAGCGAAAGUCAGGGGAGCAAAGCGGG
rnacentral:rRNA from 1 species